CCCGUUUUGCGGUUCCUGCAACUGCUGCAGACGCCACAGUUGAUGAGCCUCUUGCAGGGAACGCAGACCCCACACCUUUUCCUCUUCUUCUUGGCUGGGUUGGCUCCGCCAGCUCCCCCUGAGGAGGACGAGGAGGAGGAGGAAUGAUUCUGCGGGCAGUCUGCCAGAUUGGCAAUUUGAAACGCACUGUCUGUGACGGCUGCUGAGGCUGCUGCGGGGGAGUGAAGGGCUGUCAUGACGAUGACCCCUGGAGGAUGCUGAGGAUUAGUUAACUACAGCUUGCAGAGAAUUUUACAUCAAAGAAUUCUAAAGAUCUUUUUACAAUGUAAAAUGGGAAUUGUUAUGCGCUUCACUUGACUGUACUUCUCCUGACUGAAUAUCUUCUGGAAAGUCAUGUAACAGAUUAACUGCUCCACAUUCUUAAGGCCUUCUAAGAAAUUUCCUCCCCAAUUCACUUGGGUCACCAUCUCUGAGCUCUCUAGAAGAGGGCAUUUUCCAAAUCUCAAGCAAAUUUGAACACCUCAUAAAAUAAUACAGGCAUCUCUUACAAAGGUGGUGCUCCUGCCAGUUAAUUGGGCUCAGUUCGAUGUUUUCUGUUCUCUGCAAGAUGUCAGUGAAGGCUGGGGGCUCGACUGGGCUGCAGCGUCCAUGGCGGCUCGCUCAGGUGUCUGGUGGCUGAUGCUGUUGGCUGUGAGCUCAGCUGGAGCUGCAUGUCUCUUCAGUUUCCCACUAUGUGAUCUCUCCAUGUUGUUGCUUUCUGAGAAGGAGUACCAUUGACUAAACAUUUCGAGAGUAAGGAAGCAGGAGCUGAAUGUGUCUUAAGGUCUCAUUUCUGCCACAUUCUUUUGAACAAAAGCCAGCCCAUAUUCAAGGGGAGAAGAAAUAAGCUGCUCUUCUUGAUGUGAUAAGUGGUUCAUGUAGGGGAGGAGUUGUUGAGCCACCUUUUAAGACUGACUACCAACAUACAAAAAAUUAACUUCCAAUAUUUUCUUCACACAUGACUCCCUUUUCUAUAUUACUCCUGCACAUUUUCCUUCUAUGUGUGAGAAUGUAAAAUCAGUGCUCUUUUUCUCUGUACUAACCUAAACACAAAAGUUGGUUGUGUUUGGUCUCUAUCCUGGAUGACUCUGUUAUGUGAUGUUGAAGACCUGAUGU